ACUGAGUCCCAGGUAAGUUAGGCACCUUGCUGGCUGGUUGCACAGCUGUGAGGUGAUGGAGCUGGGAUGAAGGGCAGCUUGGUCUGGCCACAGCACCCACAGUCUUUCUCCCUGACCUCCUGUCUCAUGCAGCUCUCAUGAACUCCCUGAAGCACCCGUCUUUCCUCUUAGAGCUCUCAUGAGCUCUACUCCUCUCUGGCUCACACAGGCCCAAAGAGGAACAAAGCCUGGACUGGCCUGAUGUGGAGAUGCCUGGGGUGGUACCAGGGCUCUGGGAAGGGGCUACAGGGACCAUGCUAGUGACAGCUGCCGCCGAGCUAACUGUUUUAUUUAUUGAAGUAAUCUCCAGGCCCAACAUGGGUCUUGAACUCGCAACCCUGAGAUCAAGAGUCCCGCGCUGUCCUCACUGAGCCGGUCAGGCGCCCCAAGAGUGUG
rnacentral:lncRNA from 1 species